GAUGAAGAACGUAGCGAAAUGCGAUAAGUAAUGUGAAUUGCAGAAUUCAGUGAAUCAUCGAAUCUUUGAACGCACAUUGCGCCCCUUGGUAUUCCGAGGGGCAUGCCUGUUCGAGCGUCAUUAUAACCCCUCAAGCUCAGCUUGGUGUUGGGGCCUGCUGCACUGGCAGCCCUUAAAAUCAGUGGCGGCGCCAUCUGGCUCUAAGCGUAGUAAUUCUUCUCGCUAUGGAGUCCUGGUGGAUGCUUGCCAUCAACCCCCAAUUUUUCUAUGGUUGACCUCGGAUCAGGUAGGGAUACCCGCUGAACUUAAGCAUAUCAAUAAGCCGAGGA
rnacentral:misc_RNA from 1 species